rnacentral:rRNA from 1 species
GAUGAACGCUGGCGGCGUGCCUAAUACAUGCAAGUCGAGCGAACAGAUGAGGAGCUUGCUCCUCUGACGUUAGCGGCGGACGGGUGAGUAACACGUGGAUAACCUACCUAUAAGACUGGGAUAACUUCGGGAAACCGGAGCUAAUACCGGAUAAUAUAUUGAACCGCAUGGUUCAAUAGUGAAAGACGGUUUUGCUGUCACUUAUAGAUGGAUCCGCGCCGCAUUAGCUAGUUGGUAAGGUAACGGCUUACCAAGGCAACGAUGCGUAGCCGACCUGAGAGGGUGAUCGGCCACACUGGAACUGAGACACGGUCCAGACUCCUACGGGAGGCAGCAGUAGGGAAUCUUCCGCAAUGGGCGAAAGCCUGACGGAGCAACGCCGCGUGAGUGAUGAAGGUCUUCUGAGCGUAAAACUCUGUUAUUAGGGAAGAACAAAUGUGUAAGUAACUAUGCACGUCUUGACGGUACCUAAUCAGAAAGCCACGGCUAACUACGUG